rnacentral:lncRNA from 1 species
CUGAUACGUUCCGUUUUCAAAUGUCGUCCUUCCGUGUUUUAUAAGUUUAUUAAACCAUAUUACUGAAUACUAUUCGAAGAGGUGCAAAAUAUGAGGUCAGCAUGAGAGCUGUGAAAGCAGUUUAAAGCCACUUUUCUGAUCCUUUGUCACGAGAAAGACAUUUGCAAAGCGGCUGGUCCCUCUUUGGUCAGCAUCAUGAGGGCACAGUUCAGUGCGCUGCCGUACUGGCCGGCCGACGAGUUCAUGAACCGCGUUUUCACCACGUC